GACGAACGCUGGCGGCGUGCUUAACACAUGCAAGUCGAACGGAAAGGCCCUGCUUUUGUGGGGUGCUCGAGUGGCGAACGGGUGAGUCACACGUGAGUAACCUGCCCUUGACUUUGGGAUAACUUCACGGAACUGGGGCUCAUACCGGAUAGGAGCUCCUGCUGCAUGGUGGGGGGUGGAGAGUUUCGGCGGUUGGGGAUGGACUCGCGGCUUAUCAGCUUGUUGGUGGGGUAGUGGCUUACCAAGGCUUUGACGGGUAGACGGCCUGAGAGGGGUGCCGGCGACAUGGGGACUGAGAUAGGGACCAGACUGGUACGGGAGGCAACGGUGGGGAAGAUUACACAGUGAGCGGGAGCCAGAUGCAACGACGCCGCGUGCGGGAUGCCGGGCUUCGGGUUGUAAACCGCUGUGGCAGGUGACGAAGCGUUAGUGACGGUAAUGGAUAAAGAAGCACCGGCUAACUACGUG
rnacentral:rRNA from 1 species